CAGAGAGAUGCCGGCUCACUCUAGUCAAGUGCUUUUUUUUUCAUUUGAGCUCAGCAUGGAACCCACAAAACACGUCAGCUCACGAAACCACAAGCAAUACGCCAGUAUGGGGAACCACAGCCACAGUGAUCAUAAGACCGAGCCCAGCAUGGAACCCAUUGAGUGCGUUAGCUCAUGAACCGCAAGCAAUACGCUGGAGCAGGGAACCAUUUGACUGGAGGAGAAAAGGAAAACCAGCAGCAAGGGAACAGCAAUCCAGGGAGGCUGCCCGUAGACAGAUGCUCAACUACAAGUUAUGUAGUGCAUUAUAAUUUCAGAGAAAAGUCAUGAAAAAGCUUGUGGGAAUCUGUGAGGAUGUGUGCCUAGAAGAAACAUCAUGGAAAUGCAGGAAAGUGCAAAGACUCAAAGAUUCCUGCAUGGGCUUCAACAGUUGAGGCACUAAACCUCCUUGACAAAUCUCUUGACUCCCUGGAGGAAAAGCAGAAACUGAUCAAUGGCUUGUCCACGGUGGGAGGAGUCCACUUGAAGGACAAUUUGAAUGGAAAUUGAGUAGAAUUUACAUUGUAUAGGGGACUCAGCAAUUGCGACUGGGCUAACUGGAAGCCUUCCUCAACAAACUGAUGGAGUACCUUCACUGACAUUUCCACUUCGACAAAACAAGCAUCUUGCUGAGGAUCUCUAUCACAAUGUGCAUAGUUUGUGUCAUAAAACUACGAUUACCUAUUUUUAUUAACUAGACUUUAAGGGUUAGUUUGUGUUGUAACUUCUGGAUAAAUGA